rnacentral:lncRNA from 1 species
CAUUAAGUGUCUCCUAUUUCCUUCUAGCUGGAAUGUACCUCCUUCUCAGCUGAUUCAACAUCUACUUGCCUGCAGCUCAGAUGUUACCUCCACUGUGCCUGAGACAAUGAUUAGGAACUCAUCUACACAUUAUAUUUGAGUCCCUAUCUGCUUGGUAAUAAAGGCUCCCACUUAGAGAAUCUUUGCAUCCUUAAGGACAAUCUACUUGUUUCCACUUGGACAACUUGGACAGGAAGAACAAAACUCCUGGAAAGCUCUUUCUUACUCACAGCCAAGAUCCAGCCAGACGAGACGGGGUGUAUACCAUUGCACAUGGGUCCUGCUGCCUUUUGAGCCUCUGGGUUGAAGAGCAAGUGCAAUUAGCAUUCCAAGGUGUGAAUUAUUUCCUCACAGUACGAGGCCCUGCAACAUCUUCUUGUGAUUACAAAGGCUGGACUAACUGCAACUUUCAUAAGUUGUAAAGUGUACACAGUAAAGACACAUAGAAAAGUUCUUAAAAGUUAUAAAUCCAAACAUUUCAUAGUGCUUAGAACCCAUUUAAUUACAGAACAAGAGACAGUUUCCGAAGAGCUUGCGGUUCAGUGACUUCCCACGUCUUGUUUCUGUUAAUCAAAGCAAAACAAAAAACUAAGACCCAAACCAGCUCCACUGGAAUCAUCCUUUAAACUCAUUCUAAACUUGUAUCAUCCUAUUGAAUUGAAGCCCACAGGGAAGAGGGCCCAGAAAAUCCCUGGACCUCCUGUGUGAAUGCUAAGUCACAUCUAACUCUUAGUGACCCCGUGGACUCUAG